UACGUAGGGUGCAAGCGUUAAUCGGAAUUACUGGGCGUAAAGCGUGCGCAGGCGGUUGUGCAAGACAGAUGUGAAAUCCCCGGGCUCAACCUGGGAACUGCAUUUGUGACUGCACGGCUGGAGUGCGGCAGAGGGGGAUGGAAUUCCGCGUGUAGCAGUGAAAUGCGUAGAUAUCAGGAGGAAUACCGAUGGCGAAGGCAGGUCUCUGGGCUAACACUGACGCUCAUGCACGAAAGCGUGGGGAGCAAACAGG
rnacentral:rRNA from 1 species